CCUACGGGGGGCAGCAGUGGGGAAUAUUGCACAAUGGGGGGAACCCUGAUGCAGCGACGCCGCGUGAGUGAAGAAGUAUUUCGGGAUGUAAAGCUCUAUCAGCAGGGACGAAAAUGACGGUACAUGACUAAGAAGCCCCGGCUAACUACGUGCCAGCCGCCGCGGUAAUACGUAGGGGGCAAGCGUUAUCCGGAUUUACUGGUGGUAACGGGAGCGUAGACGGCAGAGCAAGUCUGAAGUGAAAGCCCGCGGCCCAACUGCGGGACUGCUUUGGAAACUGCCCGGCUAGAGAGCUGGAGAGGUAAGCGGAAUGCCUAGUGUAGCGGUGAAAUGCGUAGAGAGUAGGAGGAACACCAGUGGCGAAGGCAGCUUACUGGACAGUAACUGACGUUGAGGCUCGAAAGCGUGGGGAGCAAACAGGAUUAGAUACCCGAGUAGUC
rnacentral:rRNA from 1 species